AAUAUGUAAAUAAAAAUAAUACGAACAAGAAUACGGGUCUCACACGAUCACAAACCAGUCAAAGAUCGACGCUCAAUCCGCGAAGGCUGUAGUUAAAAAUGCAGACUUUAUUAAUGAUAGCAAUCUCAGUUUUAGUUAUUGUUUCUUUAGCUGAUACGAGGCCCGCUGAGAAAACGUUAGAAGAAAACCAAAUAGAGACUGUAACUCAGGGGCACAGAGAAAAACGUAAUCCGCAGUCAUAUUCUUAUUCAUAUCAAGAAUCGCAUAGCAGCAGCUAUAGUCAUUCUUCAUCAUCCAGUUAUAAAUACAGUUACAGUGGUUCCGGGCCUGUGAAAUUUAUCAUCGUUGGCAACGGGAAUGGAAAUAAAAACUAUAUACACACUAGCUGAUACGAAAUAAAUUAAAACGAUAUUAAAUAAAUAAAUAUAUUUAU